AGGAAGGGAAGCUGUCUUUCUUGAGGACUGUGGCAGAUGAGAUAAAAGGAGAAGUGCUGGGAGAACUUAAUGAUGACUUAAUGGGAGAAGGCUAUCGAAUUUCUGGGUCAUUGUUCACAGAAUUAUCUACACUGUUUGAAGCAGUUCACGGUAGCCAGAGCUGAAGGCCACACAUGAUCUCAGUAUCCAGAAAUUGUUGUUUCAUCUGGAAACUCCAUUAUGUGACUUUUUAGCCUGUUUCAUGUAAGUUAUUGAUAUGUUAAAGAAUAAAGAUCCCAGCUGAACUGAACCUGGGGCA
rnacentral:lncRNA from 1 species